GAGGACCCUAGGCCCGGGCGUUGGAGUCUCGGGGCCGUUUCCGUCCGGGUGGAAGUGGUGUCUCGGCCCUGCCGCAGGCUCGGCCCCGUUUGCUCGACUUCAGAGGAAAUUGCGCCUGGCUUCAUUUCACCUAAAGCCUUGAAAAAGACCAGCGGACCUGGCAGGGAGUACCCUUUCCCCCUCGGUCUAGGCCGGACUAAACAGGUUGUCCCCCUAAACGCCAGGGUUUUCUUCCCUGUCUCCGUCGGGCCUCCGCCCAGGGUGACAUUUAGGUUGCUUCACCUGAAACUUACCGGCUGGUUGCCCUGGCGCUUCCCGCGACCCUGGCCCUGCUAACCAGGUAUCCAUCGCACUAGCAACCUCAAUGGUCGAUGGAGAGCCGCUCUCUGCCCAGCAAUGUGGUAAAUACAAAUAAAGUUUAUGGUCUGGGUUCCGUCCUCAUGUCUAGAAAAUCAUUACAAAUCGAUAGGAUGCAUGGCAGUUAAAAAGCACGUUAAAGAUGCCCUUCCAUUAUCUUCCGGCUUGUUUCUGAAGUCAGCUGACGAUCUGGGGUGACGUCUGACGCUUCCAUCUGGCUUUUCCAGUUGUUGUGAGUGGGAACCUUGAUCUGCCUGCAAGCGGCUCCAUCGCACCCGAGAGCGGACACUCCCGUCUGUUGAUGGACUACUGGCGAAAUAAGAAAGAAAGGCAAAACCAGGUUCCACCGAUUUUAAGUUGAAUUUAAAGAUGACAGAAGAAGGUGUCCUUUAUAUACAUCCAAACUCUGGAGUCUGUAAUUGCUCGCUCACUUUAUUAAAAUGUUCCACAGCA